rnacentral:lncRNA from 1 species
GAUCUGGUUGGCAGGGCAACCGGCCUUCAGUUAGUGCCUUCAGUGGGUGCUUUCAGUUGGUGGCAUUCGGUUGCCUUUCCUGAGGAGAGGUGGCAGGUGCUCAGCUCUGCAGGUGUCGGGGCAAGGAAGGACCAAGCGACCUGAGAAGAGCAGAGGUGCCCCAUGGGGACCACGCUGACUUGUCGCAUGUGCACCAAGGCCAGCCCCACUCAGGGCCCUCACAGGGCUUCUGCAGAGCCGUCCUGAGGCUCUGACAUCUAUGAGUCGGCGGCCAGCAGAGGCGCAGACCCCAGCACAGAGGAGCAGAGGCACCCGGAACAAGCUGUCCCUUAAUGCCACCCCAAGCGGGGCCAGCUCAGGAUGCGGUGUUUGGAGCAGUCCUGCAGCUCUGCGAUCCACGAGGUGGUGGUGGGAGUAGCGCCAGAGUCCACUGCUUUGGAGCCUGCCCCGUCUGAUUCAGGAGUCAUGACGACCAGAAGACGCCAAAAGGUAGGGAGACUACAGAUACCGCUUGGCCUUAGGAGCUCCUUUGGCAGUUGCUCACCCAUGGUUCCCCCCAGAGGCACCCACAGCCUAGGGCUCCUCCCUCCUGCCUCUAGUUUGCUUUCCUAGGCCCAGGCCCCAAGCAGGAGGACUUGCUCUGAUUCCACUCCCCAUCCAUUGUUCUUUCCCUGUUGCAUCCAGCUGGUUACUUUCCCUUGCCCUGUCCAAAUGCCCACUUCUGGGCCCUCUUCUUCUUUUCUUAGGCUGGUCAAAACUAAGACUUCAGAUUACAAAAUGUAUGCUACAGAUUUCAUUACGGUAGAGGAAAUAUGCGACAGCUCUUGUAUUUAAACUUAAGUAGCCACAUUGGGACUCCCAAUUUCAUAUUUUUCGUUGUAGAGCAGAGCUCUCUCUCCUAAAGUAAUGGCUGAGGGUUAGAGGUACUCUUCUUGAUUCUAAUAAUAAAAAAUGAUUUCUCAUAGAGACAGGGUCUCACUGUGUUGCCCAGGCUGGUCUCAAACCCCUGGCCUCAAGUGAUUCACUCACGUUGGCCUCCCGCUUUGUUGGGAUGACAGGCAAGAACCACCACACCUGGCCUUGGGAGCUGCUCCUGCUUUGUGUGUUUUGCCUGGUCUUCCUGCACAGCUGUCAGUAAGAUGCUCCUGCAGCAUAGUUCCAAAUCUUUCUGCACAAAUUUAGUGGAUGAUGUGAUUUUUUACAUGGAAUAGCCCCUUUAUUUAUUGCAGAGAAGCUGGACAAUUCACACUUAGUAACAUAUGGCCUAGCAAAUUUCAUUUCGUGAUCACCACACCUGUUAAAAGGUGAUGCUUGUGGUCUAAAUAUGCAGAUUCCUCAUCAUCCUCAAGGAAAAGGGAACCACUGCAAGAAAACCUGGGAGGGAGUUUAGGAUUGUCCUGAGGCAGUGCAAGCCACUGAAAUUCACACACAAGGGGUUAGAAAAGAGAAUCCACAUGUUCUCAUCUCUCCAUGUUCUGGGUAUAAUUUGGUCCUCCUUAAAUUGCACCAUUUUUGGCGUUAGAGAAAACUGGAUUUGAAUACCACUUCCAUCACUCUUUAUGAUGUGAUGGUGAAUGUGUUUUUAACUCAUCUGAGCCUCAGUUUGCUCAUCUAUAGAAGAUGUGAUUGUUGUAAGGCUUCCAUAAGGUAAGUGUGUAAAAACCAUGGCAAAAUGCUUGUAAUUUAAAAGAGAGGGUUAUUAUGAGGCUUCUAUAAGGUAAGUGUGUAAAAGUCUGGACAAAAUGUCUACUAUUUUGUAAGUGUUCAAUAUGUGGAUAAAGUGGAUUAUCUUUCUCUCCUUUUUAGACCACAAAUUUUUAGACCAAGUUUAUAAAAUUAGGGAUACUCCUAUUUCUUAGACAAUCAAACCAAUGAUCAGAAAGACUAGAUAAAUCACCAUAGUCACAAAGCAGUUCACAAUGCAUUUACUGGGUAAUUUCUAGUUAACAGUAGCAAUGAUGAUCACAUUGAAAAUCUUGUAUUUUGUGGUGGUUUUCUGUUACGUAAGCCUCUUGCUUUGUUGAAACCAUAGAUUCUAAGCUGCUUUGUCAAAGUGAUCAUUAGAAAAAUGUGAUGUAGUGUGUAAAUGUUAGAAAAUUUCUCCUGUUAGUCUUGCUAAUUUGAUUGAACAUGUGUGUCAUUUUCAAAAAUGUAAAUCAAAUAUAUGUGAAUGGGAUAUAUAUGUAUACAUAUGAAAUAUAACUUGAAUUAGAGAGUAGGCUUAGCUCAUGGCAAUGUUUUUUCUGAAAGCACCUGCAGAAAUCUCUCUUAUUUCUAGUUUGUUGAUGUUUCAGAGAUUAUGGAGAAAUGGCGGUUCUAUGAAUCUCAGACACUGCAUGAGGCAGAUUUGGUUUCAGUAAUUUUAGCAUCAUUCAUUGUAAGGUGAUGAUCCCUAGGAACUUCAUCACAGUGAGAAACCUGAAAGGUCCUAGCAGCCAGCAUGAAUGAAAGGUGGGGCGGGGCUGCUGGCAGGGCAGGGCCUUGUGAGCCAUAUGCCUGUGCUCUCAAGUUCCAGGAUUGUGGGGAUGCAUGCAGGGGAUUCUGGACCUGAUUGUUUCCUCUGAACCAGGAUGUGGUCUGGUUGGCAGGGCAACUGGCCUUCACUUGGUGGCCUUCAGUGGAUGCCCACAUUGGUUGCCUUCGGUUAGUGCACUCAGUUGGUACCCUCAGUUGUUUCUCUUCAGUUGGUGGUCUUCAAUUGUUGGGCAGUGGCAGAAGGAGGAUGAAUCCGUUUGUGCUCUCUCCUCCCCCAGUCACAGCUCUCAGGCUUGUUGCCCCCAGGCCCUCCUAAAAUAAACCAGAGAUGUUGGCAGGUUUUUCUUAGCAGACUAAUCAGCUCAGGAUAUGGGGGUGAGGCAGGGUGUAGGGUGCAGGUUGCUAGCACAGUGCCGCCCCAUGGCCCAGGGCUGCCUGUGCCAGACAUGCCUUUGCAAGGAAGAGGCAAUAGUUGUUGAGCUCUGCAGACUUGGGGGCAAGCGAAGGUCCAAGCUGCCUGAGAAGAGCAGGGGUGCCGCAUGGGGACCACACUGAACUGUCACAAGUGCACCAAAGUCAGCCCCAGUCAGGGCUGGCAGAAGGGUUCUGCAGAGCCAGCCUGUGGCUCUGAUGUCUACCAGUGUGCAGACAGAGAAGGCGCAGGCUGUGAUAUACAGGAGCAGAGGAGCCCUGAACACGCUGUCCCCCAAUACCAGCCACAAGCGGGGCUAUCUCAGGGUGCGGUGGGUGAAGCCGUCCUGCAGCUCUGCGAUCCACGAGGUGGAGGUGGCAGUACUACCAGACUCCACUGCUUUGGAGCCUGCCCAGUCGAAUUUGGGAUCCAGUGACAGACCUGACAGCAGUACAUUGGCAACCAGAAGAUACCCCAGGUAGGGUGGCAACGGAUACUGCUUAACUUGAGAAGAGCCUCAGUUUUCUCAUCUAUAUAAGAUGUGAUUGCUAUGAAGCUUCCAUAAGGUAAGUGUGUAAAAACCAUGGCAAAAUGCUUGUAACUUAAAACAGAGUGUUUCUAUGAGGCUUCUAUAAGGUGAGUGUGCAAAAAUCUGGACACAAUACCUAUAAUUGUUUAAGUGUUCAGUAUGUGGAGAAGGAGGAUUAUUUUUUCUCAUCUAAUUUUUAGAGCGAGUUCAUAAGAUUGGUGAUACUCAUAUAUCUUAGACAAUCAAACCAAUAAUCAGAAAGAAUAAAUAGAUCACCAGAGUCACAAAGCAGUUCACAAUGCAUUCACUGGGUAAUUUUUAGUUGAAAGUAGAAAUGAUGAUCACAUUGAAAAUUUUGUAUUAUGUUGUGGUUUUCUCUUACAUAAUCCUCUUGGUGUCUUGGUGUUAUGAAACCACAGAUUCUAAAUUGCUCUAUCAAAGUGAUCAUUAGAAAAAUCUGAUGUACUUAGUGUUUAAAUGUUAGAAAAUUUCUUGUUAGUCUUCUCAAUUUGAUUGAACAUGUGUGUUAUUUUCAAAAAUGUAAAUGGGACAUAUGUGGAUUUGUUAUAUAUGUGUAUAUAUGAAAUAUUACUUGAUAUUAUAGAGUAGGCUUAGCUCAUGGCAAAGUUUUUUUCUGAAAGCACCUGCAGAAAUCUCUCUUAUUUCUAGUUUGUUAAUAUUUCAGAGAUUAUGGGGGAAAGGGGGUUUUAUGAAUCCCAGACAUUGCGUGAAGCAGAUUUGGUUUCAGUAAUUUUAGCAUCAUUCAUUGUAAGGUGAUGAUCCCUAGGAAUUUCUUCACAGUGAGAAACCUGAAGGUUCCUAGCAUGCAGCAAUGAAUGAAAGGUGGGGCGGGGCCACUGGCAUGGUGGGGCCUUGUGAGCCAUGUGUCUGUGCUCUCAAGUUCCAAGUCUGUAGGGAUGCAUGCAGGGGAUUCUGGACCUGAUUGUUUACUCUGAACCAGGAUGCGGUCUGGUUGGCAGGGCAACUGGCCUUCACUUGGUGGCCUUCAGUGGGUGCCCUCAUUGGUUGCCUUCGGUUAGUGCCCUCAGUUGGUACCCUCAGUUGUUUCUCUUCAGGUGGUGGUCCUCAGUUGGUGGUCUUCAGUUGUUGGGCAGUGGUGGAAGGAGGAUGAAUCUGUGCUCUCUCCUGCCCCAGUCACAGCUCUCAGGCUUGUUGCAUCCAGGCCUUUCUAAAAUAAACUGGACAGGUUGGCAGGAUUUUUUAGCAGACAAGUCAGCUCAGAGUAUGGGGGUGAUAUGGGGUGCAUGCUGCUAGCGCAGUGCCACCCCGUGGCCCAGGACUGCUUGUGCUAGCAAUGCUUUUGCCAGCAAGAGACGAUAGGUGUUGAGCUCUGCACACUUGGGGGCAACCAAAGGCCCAAGCUGCCCAAGAAGAGCAGGAGUGCCCCAUGGGGACCACAUUGAACUGUCGCAUGUGCACCAAAGCCAGCCCCAGUCAGGGCCGGCACAAGGGUUGUGCAGAGCCAGCCUGUGGCUCUGACGUCUAUGAGUGUGCAGACAGCGCAGACGCAGCCCGCAAUAUACAGGAGCAGAGUUGCCCUGAACACGCUGUCCCACAAUGCCAACCACAAAUGGGGCCAGCUAAGGGUGUGGUGGGAGAAGCCAUCCUGCAGCUCUGAGAUCCACAAAGUGGAGAUAGCAGUAGCACCAACUCCACUGCUUUGGAGGCUGCCCAGUCGAAUUUGGGAGCCAGCGAGGGACCUGACAGCAGCACAUUGGACACCAGAAGACACCCAAAGGCUGGAAUGCUACGUCGCGAUGUCAGCUCGCUGCAACCCUUGCUUCCUGAGUUCAUGUGAUCCUCCUGCUUCAGCCUCCUGAGUAGCUGGGAUUAGAGGGAGAGGAGUGGAAGACCUUCUGGUGUGGGCUGGGCAGCAAUUCACUUGAAGGAGAAACAGCCCGGGUGUGGAGAGGCGGCCAUCCUUGGCGGGAUCCUUUCUAAGGAGCCGAGAAAUCAACGUAGAGCUUCCUCUAUCUGAUUCUCUAACAACUGCAGACCUUCCAUGAGUCAAGCUUUGUGUCAAAAGGACAAAUUAAAAGGACCUAUAAAUGGCACCACCCAGCCCAAUGGACAGAUGCCCCAGGCUGCAGAUUCUGUCAGUGCUGUUCUCGAAGAGGCCCAGGCACAUGCUGAAACAUGGAAGGUAAAACCAGCAAGCAGCUGGCAUACAUUCCACCCAGCCGUCCCCCAGGAGAAUUGCUUGAGCUCCGGAGUUCCAGACCAGCCUGGGCAACAGAACAAGGGCUCAUCUCUACUAGAAAUCAAAAAAUUAGCCAGGAUAAGAAGCCAGCCCUCGGGAACCACCAGGAGCCAGGAGCACCCCCGGCCCCCCAAGGCCCCAAGUCCAGCCUGCCCCACCCCCUCCGGUGCAGAGGUCCUGUGACACCAGUGGCAGCCCCGCCACACCCCCCAAGGCCAAGGGCACAGGCAGCGUGGUCUUCCCCGCCCCGCCCGACUACUUCCUGCCGCCACAGCCACCAAUGCCGCCCCUGGAGUACCCAGAGCUCCCGCUGCCGUCCCCGGACUUCAUGGAGACCCCCCUGGACUUCGUGCUCCCUCCCCUCGCUGUCGCCAAGAGGCCUCCUAUGCCCCACCCCCCCAACAGGCACGAAGCAUCAAUGUUCACAAGCAGCAAAUGAAUAAAAGUUAAACGUUCUUCCUACUGCAAAAAAAAAAAAAAA